rfam:Vigna radiata var. radiata cultivar VC1973A scaffold_100, whole genome shotgun sequence
AUCGAUGUUGUUAUUUUUGCAUUUCAUUUUGUAUGUUUUUCCUCUACAGCUCUCUUUUAUUGGAGAAAAAAAGUGGAUUAUGUUCUUUUCAAUCAAAGGGAGUUGUAGGGGAA